GAUGAACGCUGGCGGCGUGCCUAAUACAUGCAAGUCGAACGCGCAGCGAAAGGUGCUUGCACCUUUCAAGCGAGUGGCGAACGGGUGAGUAACACGUGGAUAACCUGCCUCAAGGCUGGGGAUAACAUUUGGAAACAGAUGCUAAUACCGAAUAAAACUUAGUAUCGCAUGAUACAAAGUUAAAAGGCGCUACGGCGUCACCUAGAGAUGGAUCCGCGGUGCAUUAGUUAGUUGGUGGGGUAAAGGCUUACCAAGACGAUGAUGCAUAGCCGAGUUGAGAGACUGAUCGGCCAAAUUGGGACUGAGACACGGCCCAAACUCCUACGGGAGGCUGCAGUAGGGAAUCUUCCACAAUGGGCGCAAGCCUGAUGGAGCAACGCCGCGUGUGUGAUGAAGGCUUUCGGGUCGUAAAGCACUGUUGUAUGGGAAGAAAUGCUAAAAUAGGGAAUGAUUUUAGUUUGACGGUACCAUACCAGAAAGGGACGGGUAAAUACGUGCCAGCAGCCGCCGUAA
rnacentral:rRNA from 1 species